rnacentral:rRNA from 1 species
AGAGUUUGAUCCUGGCUCAGAAUCAACGCUGGCGGCGUGCCUCAGACAUGCAAGUCGAACGCGAAAUUUCCCUUCGGGGAGAAAGUAGAGUGGCGCACGGGUGAGUAACACGUAGGUAAUCUACCUCUGGGCGGGGAAUAACAGCCGGAAACGGCUGCUAAUACCGCAUAAUGCAGCGGCACCGAAUGGUGACAGUUGUUAAAGCGGGGGACCUGAAAGGGCCUCGCGCCUGGAGAGGAGCCUGCGGCAGAUUAGCUAGUUGGUGAGGUAAUGGCUCACCAAGGCAACGAUCUGUAGCCGGCCUGAGAGGGCGGUCGGCCACACUGACACUGACAUACGGGUCAGACUCCUACGGGAGGCAGCAGUCGGGAAUUUUGGGCAAUGGGCGAAAGCCUGACCCAGCAACGCCGCGUGAAGGAUGAAAUCCCUCGGGAUGUAAACUUCGCAAGAAUGGGAAGAAUAAGGAGGGGUUAAUAACCCUUUUGAUGACGGUACCAUUUGUAAGCUCCGGCUAACUCCGUGCCAGCAGCCGCGGUAAUACGGGGGGAGCAAGCGUUGUUCGGAUUUACUGGGCGUAAAGGGCGCGUAGGCGGCCGAACAAGUCACUUGUGAAAUCUCCGGGCUUAACUCGGAAAGGUCAAGUGAUACUGUUUGGCUAGAGUGCGGAAGGGGCAACUGGAAUUCUCGGUGUAGCGGUGAAAUGCGUAGAUAUCGAGAGGAACACCUGCGGCGAAGGCGGGUUGCUGGGCCGACACUGACGCUGAAGCGCGAAAGCUAGGGGAGCGAACGGGAUUAGAUACCCNNGUAGUCC